CUCGAGCGGUAACAGAUCUAGACUUGCUAGUAUGCUGCACGAGCGGCGGACGGGUGAGUAAUGCAUAGCGAAACUGCCCAGUAGUGGGGGAUAGCCCGGGGAAACCCGGAUUAAUACCGCAUACGUACCUUCGGGAGAAAGCAGGGGCUCUUCGGACCUUGCGCUAUUGGAUGUGCCUAUGUCGGAUUAGCUAGUUGGUGGGGUAAAGGCCUACCAAGGCGACUAUCCGUAGCUGGUCUGAGAGGAUGAUCAGCCACAUCGGGACUGAGACACGGCCCGAACUCCUACGGGAGGCAGCAGUGGGGAAUAUUGGACAAUGGGGGCAACCCUGAUCCAGCCAUGCCGCGUGUGUGAAGAAGGCUUUCGGGUUGUAAAGCACUUUCAGUGAGGAGGAAAACCUUAUGGUUAAUACCCAUGAGGCUUGACGUUACUCACAGAAGAAGCACCGGCUAACUCCGU
rnacentral:rRNA from 1 species